rnacentral:rRNA from 1 species
UCCUGGCUCAGGAUGAACGCUAGCUACAGGCUUAACACAUGCAAGUCGAGGGGAAACGACAUCGAAAGCUUGCUUUUGAUGGGCGUCGACCGGCGCACGGGUGAGUAACGCGUAUCCAACCUGCCCACCACUUGGGGAUAACCUUGCGAAAGUAAGACUAAUACCCAAUGAUAUCUCUAGAAGACAUCUAAAAGAGAUUAAAGAUUUAUCGGUGAUGGAUGGGGAUGCGUCUGAUUAGCUUGUUGGCGGGGUAACGGCCCACCAAGGCAACGAUCAGUAGGGGUUCUGAGAGGAAGGUCCCCCACAUUGGAACUGAGACACGGUCCAAACUCCUACGGGAGGCAGCAGUGAGGAAUAUUGGUCAAUGGACGAGAGUCUGAACCAGCCAAGUAGCGUGCAGGAUGACGGCCCUAUGGGUUGUAAACUGCUUUUAUAAGGGAAUAAAGUGAGUCUCGUGAGACUUUUUGCAUGUACCUUAUGAAUAAGGACCGGCUAAUUCCGUGCCAGCAGCCGCGGUAAUACGGAAGGUCCGGGCGUUAUCCGGAUUUAUUGGGUUUAAAGGGAGCGUAGGCCGGAGAUUAAGCGUGUUGUGAAAUGUAGACGCUCAACGUCUGCACUGCAGCGCGAACUGGUUUCCUUGAGUACGCACAAAGUGGGCGGAAUUCGUGGUGUAGCGGUGAAAUGCUUAGAUAUCACGAAGAACUCCGAUUGCGAAGGCAGCUCACUGGAGCGCAACUGACGCUGAAGCUCGAAAGUGCGGGUAUCGAACAGGAUUAGAUACCCUGGUAGUCCGCACGGUAAACGAUGGAUGCCCGCUGUUGGUCUGAAUAGGUCAGCGGCCAAGCGAAAGCAUUAAGCAUCCCACCUGGGGAGUACGCCGGCAAC